GUGACUCUACAUUCAGGUUAAUACCUAUAUAUAGGAAUCCUGAAAGAUCACUCAAAUCUAAUUUUAAUCCUUUCAUACCCAUAGUAAAUACCCAACUAUACACUUAUGAAUCCAUCAUACAUACACAUGUGUGUUGUAUAUGUCUUUGUAGAUUUAACAUUUUUCUGCAUUUUAAGAUUUUUUUGACAGUACCAUACUCAUACACUGUGAUCACAUUGGCAUCCCUAUCCUUUCCCAUAAUCCUUCCACUCCCACUAAGCAUCUCUUUUCCCUAGCUGGUCUACUCCUACAUCCUCGUCCAACCACCUUUUUAUUAGGAUCCCAUGUAGACAGUCAUAAUUGCUAUAACCCUGUUGUUUUCAGAAAACAGUGUUCUUUCUCAAUCCUUCCCACUCUUCAACUCCCACAAUGCUUCACUUUCUUCUGUUAUGUUCCCUGGGCUUCAGAGGGUGUAGCAUAUAAGACACUCAGAUGCGUUGAAGGGGGAUGUCCUUCUGUAUGCUGUGAAUAUAUGUUUCUGUCAUUGGUUCAUGAAUAAAACUCUUUUGACCAAUUGGCAUGUGGGUAUAGCCAGGCAGGAAGGAUAGGCAGGGCUGGUAGACUAGGAUAAUUCUAGGAAAAGGAAUGCAGAGAGGGUGUUACCAUUGAGGGAGAAGUCGGGACAUCACCGGUAAGCCAACACCACAUGAAUAUGCACAGAUUAAUAUAAAUGGGUUAAUAAUUAACAUAGAGCUAGUCAAUAAGUAACAUUUAAACAGUCAAACAGUUUAUAAUUGAUAUAAGCCUCUCUGUGUUUAUUUGGGACUAAAUCAAUGUGGGAAAAGGCAAGACAUAAACUUCUGUCUACAGUAAUUUGGAUUCAGUUACUUAAUAUCCAUUAUUUGAAUAGUUUAGACGUUAUGAUUUGGCUACUGUCUAUUAUGAAAGCUGUGUAUGUCUAUGAAUGUAAGUAUAAGUAUGUAGAAAAUUAUUUGACGUUCUCUAUUUGGAAAAGCAUCAACAGUAAAUUACUUUGAUUUUGAAAUCUUUAGACAAAAAUCUUUGUGCAGAUCUAGUAUCAGGUAUAUAUGACCUUCUAUGGGACAGUCUUUAAAUUAAUUGAGGAAAGGCCUAUCACUCUAAGAAUACCCAUGCAACUAUUUAAUCAGAAGACAUACCUUAUGAAGCAGGUAGGGUCUACAGCUAUUGUGAUCACUGAUAAUUUUCUCCCUCAACAGCCUUCAUAAAACCUUGCAGCAUGGUGAACACUAGCUGUCAGAGAGGAAGCUUCCAUCCAGGUAUCUUCAGCAGUCACAUCUUACUGUCUAGUUUUGUUUGGCAACAAAUAGAAAUGCUGAUAUCCUGUAUUUUGUGGGAAAUCUCUGUGGAUUUGUGGGGUGUUAACCCAUGCUUGGUACUAAGAUUAAUAUCUAAAAGCCCACAACUCUAAAAGCAAUAUUCCCACAUUGCAGAGCAUCUCCUGAAAGUAUUACAUGCUUUAUUAUUGUAUAGUUUCUUUAAUUCAGCACAAUAUACUUUAGGAUUUACCCAUACUAUGCAUAUAUCAAUACCUCAUUCUUAUUGUUUCUAUAUAGUAUUUCAUUAUACACAUAUUUUCAAAAAUUAUGAUAUAUUCAUGUGUAGGAAUUCUUAAGAGUUCCUGAAAUAAAACUGCUUGGUACUUUCACAUUCUAGUGUUUAUAAUGAUGUGUUACAGAUAAUUACAGUUAAUUUUCUAGGAAACUGAAAUUAUUUUCCUUAAAAUAUUGUUCCAGUUUACAUUUGUGAACCUAGUCUAUGCUCUGAUAUCUUCACAUUUCACACACAUCUGAGAAAUUAGAUGCUGUAAUUAGAAAUCAGUGCUAUGUCAGUGCAGUUUGAUUUUUCAUUUCAUUAAUGAUCAGUGAUGAUGAGCCUUUUAAAGCAGGCUUAUUUAUCUUUUUCAUACCCUUAGAGUUCCUGGCUUUCUAUAAGCAUGACAUUCUUGAGAAAGGAGUUGUCAAGGGAUACAGAGCUUUCAUUUUUGUUCCUUCAGGUUUUGAAUAUCAUAAGUGUUGAUCAAUGCAAGCUUUAAGUGUAUUACUGUCCUAAAAGUCACAAUAUUUCUCUACCAAAAAUGUAUGUCCAGUACCAUGACUUUACAAUACUUAGGCACAAAAGAAUAAAACUGAAAGUAUGAAUUUGUUUGUAAAUAUGCAGAGAAAUUAUUAUAAAUAUAUGUAAGAACUUAAAAACUAUUCAUUUCUCUUGUUAUUUGGUUUUCCUAGAUAGGGUUUCUCUGUGUAGCUUUGGAGCCUAUCCUGGCACUGUAGCCCAGGCUAGCCUCAAAUUCACAGAGAUCUGCCUGCCUCUGCCUCCUAAGUGCUGGGAUUAAAGGUGUGUGCCACCAAUGCCUGGCUCUAUUCAUUUCUUUACAAUAUAGAAACAAUGUCAGACAUGGGCCUCUAGUUGGAAAAUUAAUUGGCAAAAAAUCAUUGAAAUGAUUGCUGAUGAUACUCUUCUAUAUUCAUAGAUGGGAGCCUAGUCCAAUCAUUAUCGCAAAGGCUUCAUCUAAAAACUGAUGAGAACAGAUGCAGAGUUCCACAACAAAAAGUUAGGUGCAAGUUGGAGAACUCCACAAAAAUUAGAGGAAGAACUGUAGGAGCCAGAGGGUAUGAGGAUGCCAUAAGAACAAAGCCCAGAGAAUCAAUUAAGCAAGGCUCAUAAGGGUUUGUAAAGACUAAUAUGACAACAGGGAGCCUGCUUGGAUGUGAACUUGCCCUUCUCCAUAUAUGUUAUGGUUGUAUAGCCUUGUAUUUCUAUGGGACUCCAAACAAUGGCAAUGGAGUGUCCCUGACUCUUUUGUCUCCUCUUGGACCCAUCUCCUCCUCCUAUAUUUUUGCAUCCAGUCUUGAUAUGAAGGUAUGUGCAUACUUUAUUUUAACUUCUUUCUAGCUUUAUUGUAAAUUGUUAUUCUAUGUUCAGGUAAUGUCUCUGGGAUACCUGCACUUCUCUGAAGGGAAAAGGAGGGGUGAAUCUGGGGGAGAGGGGAGGUGGGUGAAGGGACUAGAAGACUAGAGGGAGGCGAAGUGUGGUCAUGAUGUAACAUAUGAGAGAAGAAUAAAUUUGUAAAUAGUGGGAAACAGGAAUAAGAUGAACUUGAGCUAUAACUUUAAUAUUUCUCAAAUUUAAAACAGACACGGGAACAUUUUGUUAAGGAGAAUCCUAAGUAAACAGGCACACCUGCAUCCAUCUCAGAAUUCAUGGCUGAACUUCCUCCUGCUGAUAAGGCCUCAGAGCACUAUGCUGAAAUACCAUAUAGGAAUUACAUUUUAAUAUACUGAUUAAAAUCACCUUUCCUAAUUAAUGUUAACAUCACUUGUUUUCUGUAUCUGAAUACCUAAAUAAUUAAAAACAAAAAGAAAAGGUAUUAUCUUUUUAGACUUCUACAAGAUUUCUUGUACCUCAUUAUCUCUAAACAUGUCCACAUUUAUCUUAAAAUAGCCACUUAUUGCAGCAAUUAAAAUAACAUGCAAAUAUUUCUGCUAAUUAGAAAGAAUGGAGUAAGAUGUCACCUCUCAUUUUGGACCAAGACAUUAAACCAAUCAAUGAUAUUUCUCUAUUAGACCUGAUCAUAAACAGAUUUUUAAAAGUUUACUUUCAUAUUUGUAUAAAUAUUUUGAAUAAUGGAGUGAUUAGCUCAAAUCUCUAUUUAAUUUUUCAAGUGUUUAAAAGAGACAUCUCCUUUUAAUUCUAUGCACAUGGGUUAACAAAAGUUAUCUCAUGCAUGUUUGACUAAUGAAAGAAAAGUCGUGAGUCAAACCACAUUGACUUCUCAGCUCACUUGUUCACAGACGCAUUCAUUUGUAAAAUCUAAUGAAAGUAUUGAAAUGAAAGAGACAAAGAGAUGCUGUAAGAGAGGUUUGGGGGAAACCCUGAAUUAAAGUUGAAACAAUAAGAUAACAAAGAAUUUUAAGAAAGCACAUGUUUUCUGCCAGAAAUCUUCAUACCAACUAAUUCUAUUGAAUUCCAUGCUUAUUAUUUCAUAAAAUUGGGUAGGGAUGAAAGAACUUGAUGAAAUGUGUUGAAGAAACAAUGCUUCAUUCUUACUGAAAUUUAGAAAUACUUACCUUGGGCUAUGCCUCUCCAUAGAAGCAGAAUAAUGCAGAACACACUUCAUUAAUUGAAAAUGAAAACGGUAGAACUGCCACACAGAUCUAAAACCUACUCUGUCCCUAGAGGACAAAAAGUAACCAAGUUCUAACAGCUUCUGUCUGUUUCCCUAAAUGACCUCUGUCCUCCCAUUAAAAAGCCUGCCAGAGCCAUCUACUGCUUGCUCUAGCCAAUACAAGACAAUAGGGCCCUGACCUUUCUAUCUUAGAGCGUUUAUAAAAAAGGCUCACAAUUAUAAAUCUUUCUUUUGUCCCUUUGAGAUGUAUGGGCAUUUCCGACAACUCAGAAGUGUCUCUCUGGAGCACCUGAAAGCCAUUGCUUUGAAAUGCAAUCAGCAGGAAAAAAAUAAAAAAAGAAAGAAAAAUAAAAGGAAAGGAGGCCUUAGUGUCCAAGACUCUGGGGACAGAACACAAUCUGCAUUUCCACAAUGGUCAGACAGAAGACACAGCAGGCCUCACAACAUCUACCCUGACCAUCUCUGUAAUCUCUAACUGCUAGGAGUCCAAGAUAGUGUUUGCCUCUUGCUCCUCCAUUUUCCUUCAAAUAUCCAAUCACCUCACUACAGUUCAGAAUAGAACUCAGGAAUUCUCAGGAACUAUCAAUAUUUACUGAGUAAAAUCUGUUUAUGCGCACUAAUAUUCAGCUAUGCUUCCUGUUAACAAAACAAAACGUCUAAAUAUUCACCUAGGAAUAUAUGACUCAAGUUACAUCCCAUGUUUGACCUCAUAUAAAGCUGCCAUAAUUUAAUUCAUUAGGAAUGUCCAGGGCGUUAAAAACAAUUAACAAAAUAAGCACACCAUUAGACCACCUAGUAAUUUCAUGGACUUGCUGAUCACAUUUAUUGUUUACCUGAAAAUUUGAGUCUUUAAAAGCAUAAAGGGCUAACAGUGAAGGAAUUUAGUCACUCAAUGGUUUUAAUAAAUAUCGGUGAGUAACAAUUUUCAAUUAGUUAUGAAAUGUUGUUAUGUGUAAAUUUGUUUUAAAUACAGUGCUUUAAUUGAAAAUACAAAUAUGCCACAGUCUUAUGAUUUUUGGUCACUAAUAAAUUUAUGUGGGAAUGCAGAAUAACAUUCAUAAAAUUUCAGAAUUGAGAAAGCCAAAAACUAUACUGCAUUUAAACCUUUUACAGAGAAAAUGCACCUAUGUAACAACACGCACAUUAUAGAGAAAGUCACUACAAACAUUACAUACACAUCUGACUAAUCUUUAAGCUGAUCAAACACAUACUUGCCCUGACACAUAAUUUCCUACAUCAGAACAUCCUGCUUGUAUAUAUUAUAAUUAUUUCAUUGAAAAUGUAGACAAUUUAAUCAUUUUAAGAACUGUGAAUUUUCCUCAGUAUAGGGAGUUAAUAACAAUAUAACCACCCUUACCUCUGGGAAUUCCAUGUUUUAUGUAUUUCCACAAAUACAGAAGAAAUGACAGUGAUCACCUUGUCUUUCCAGUGAGGUCAUUUAGUUUCAUAAAAAUACAUAGCCAAUAAAUAAAUAAUUUGGUCCAAAAAUCUGGACCUUCAUAAUUUGAAAUUUAUUGCUGGUGAUUUUUAAACAUCUCGGAAGGGAGAGAGAACUGGGAGUAACAUGUGUAAAUAGUUAAAUAAAAAAUUAUUAUAGGAAAAUUCUACUUCCAAUAGUUAAAGUAAAUGAAGCAUUAUUCUCCAUUCAGGGUUAUUACAACUAAUGGUUUAAGCUUACAGCUUCUUAUUGCUUAUUUCCAAUUAAUUUUCACUGCAUUAGUGGUUUCAUUCUUGUGACAAUAUCCCACACAAAAGAAGCUUAAGGAAUGAAUGGUAGGUUUAGUUCAAUGUUUGAAAAUACAGUCUACAAUGGUCAGGUGACAAGGCCAGGAAUGAAGGGCAAGUGGUUACCUCUUAGGAAUCAGGAGACAAAUGCUGGUGCUCAGCUAGCUUCUCCUUUUUAUCAUAGAAGGACCACAGCCUAUAGGAUGGUGUUACCCAUAUUCAGAGUAGGCCUUCCAUCCUAUCAUAAAUCCAUUCAGAGGUGAUUCUCCAAAAAAGUAGGAAUCAACCAUCCUACUUGUCCUGCAUUUUAGUCUCACUGGUUAUUAUCUCAUUCUUUCCUAUGGAACAUUAAACUUUGAAUCACUUAAUAAUUCUGUCCAGGUCAUCACUAAAUCACAUUUUAGUAUCUAUCAACAGUUCUGUGUGUAUUUAAAUGAUGACUAAUACUACAAUUAUUUAGGUUAAAAGCCACUAAAAUUUAUUAGUGGAAAAAAUGGGAAAAACCAAAUCAAUUAGUUACAAUUAGUCUUUUCGGUCUUUUGUUUGCCAUGAUAAUUCUGGUUUUCUUCAGUAAACUGUCAAAUUAAAUUUUUGAUAUUAAGUAAAACUCAUUUAAUUACAGCCAAGGAGAUCAUUUUAACCAUGAGUGUUAUUUGUUAUUCAAAUUGAUACAAUGCAUUUUUCAUUAGGUGAAAAUAGAUUUUUUUGUUUGUAAUAUAUGCUGAUUAUAGUUUCCUCUCCCUGUACUUCGUAUAGUUCCUCUGACAUACACACACAUCCAACUCUGUGCUCUUUCUGUCUCUCAUUGGAAUACAAAGAAGCUUCUACAGGAUAAUAAUGAUGUAAGAUAAUAAGAUAAAAACAACAUUAAUACAUUGGAAUAGGACAAAAAAAGAGAUGGAAAAUAGUUCAAGAAAAGGUACAAAAGUAGAUGUAGACACUGAUAUCCUCUUUUUCUAACACUCAAGCACCCAUAAAAGUCCUAGUUUUGAAGCCAUAAUGUAUAUGCAAAUAAUAGGAGAACUGGGGUGACAGAGUUUGUGUGUAAAGUAAAUAAAUUUAAAAAUAAAAUAAAAGCCCUGGCAUAAUAUUAUGAGCCAAGAAACCUCCAAUGAUGUUACUGUGUCUGUUUUCUGUAGUCGCUCAGUGCUGGGCAUGAAGCUUACUCUUAAGAGUUGUUUGUCUCCACAGUGGUUAUCAAUUGGAGAUGGAUUCUGGAUUACAGAUAUGGACAUGUGUCCUCUUUUCCUUUCACCUAGGACCCUCAUCUGAUGGAGACUCCUGCAGGCACUGGGCACGUUGCCCCAGGCCAUUCUAACUAUAUCUUCAGCAUGCUUCCAGAGUCAGGGAAAAAGAUCUGACAUUCAUGAGAUCUGGCUGUGUCUGCUUCCUGAAUGCUGAGAUUAAGGGCAUCCACCACCACCUCCCAGAAAGUUUUCAUAUUUUUUAAGAAGAAUGUUCCUGCUUGAAAAGGAGUUGGUUUGGACCUUAAUUCUCACAAUGGGCUCCAUUGUUUAGCCUCAAUACUGGAGAAAGUGCCUGGAUUUACUGCAACUUGACAUGCUGAGUUUUAUUGUUAGCCAUGGGAGGCCUACCAUUUUCUGACUAGGAAGAGGUGGAUGGUGGGGUGGAGAAUAGAGGUGGGGGGAAGGAACCAAAAGGGGAGAGGAUAGGAGAAACUAUGGUUAGGUUUUUAAUUAAUAAUAAUAAUAAUAAUGUCAUUUAAAAUAAAUAAACAAACAUUGCCAAUUCCAGUUAAUAUAAACAAGGCUUAACAAUAAGCAUUGUCACGUGUACAGGGAGUGAAUAAAUGUUUUCUUUAAACUGCCAUAUUAACCACAAAAAUUCAAAAUGCCAAACAUGGUGAGCCUUCUUAGAAUUAAUGGCAUUCUUAUGGCAAUAUUAUUGCACUAUUACAUGGGAAACAUACUAAUUAUAUAAAUUGAAAUGUGAAGGACAUGUCAGUAUUACCUGUUGCUGUUAAAUUAUGUCAAUGCUCUUUGCUUUUACUCAGCAAAGCAGACUUUUCAAUGUACUUGGCAGAAACUCAUGUUAAGUAUAUGCAACAGCCAUUUCUUAUAGACCAUCAUGUGAGAUAAAAAUUGUACAAAAAUAAAACAAGAAAAGGAAAAGAUGGCCCCUCCAUCUCUGUACUUGUAAUGAUAGUGCUUUGAAUGAGAUUCCCUGAUGCUGAAUACUUUACUUUCCCCAUAGAGUAAGUCUGCCAAAUUUGUGUGAUUUACAGAGAAGUGACCUCCUCCUCAUUGACUCACAUCAGUAACAUUUCAUGUUGAUUUUUACCUAAAUGAAUUUUAUGCAGGGAUUCUUGUUCAUAUCUAAAGAAAUCUACUCAAACACCACCUCAAAUUUAUUGUCUAGAAUCACUCCAAAAUAAUCAAUUAUUAGUCUUAUCUAAAGGACUAAUCCUUUUUGUACAUAUAAAGUGUAUAAUUUUAACAUUUUUGAUCAAUUGUCUUUGUAUAGUGUUUCUAAACCGCAGAAUUGAAGUGUAGAGAUGUGCUUUUUAAAUAAUAUCCAUUGUCUAGCAGGUAAAAUGAUGGUAAGUUUCAGUUGGAAGGAAACAUAUGCCCCAUUUCCUAGAUAUAUGUCACAAUGUUUCUAUGAAACUCUCACAUAUCCAUUCCAUCUGAGAUUCACAAAAACUCAAAUGUGCCAUUUUUUUCCUGGAAACUUUAGCUUACUACAUUCAGUUUCCACUUCUGUCCUAAAGGAGAAAUCAAUAAACACUUUGGAAUUCCUAUCCACUACUGCUCUGGAGUCUUCAGGAAAAGAAUUCACAUUGUACAAAUGUCUGGGGAUAUAGCAACAAAAUUUAUCUCUUUGGGCUAAAACACAUCAACUGAUAUAUAAUUUUCAAGUGUCAUCUAUUUUAUACUUAAAAAUAACUAAUGGGCAUGCUCCU